GACGAACGCUGGCGGCAGGCUUAACACAUGCAGGUCGAGCGCCCCGCAAGGGGAGCGGCAGACGGGUGAGUAACGCGUGGGAAUCUACCUUUUGCUACGGAAUAACUCAGGGAAACUUGUGCUAAUACCGUAUGUGCCCUUCGGGGGAAAGAUUUAUCGGCAAAGGAUGAGCCCGCGUUGGAUUAGCUAGUUGGUGGGUAAAGGCCUACCAAGGCGACGAUCCAUAGCUGGUCUGAGAGGGCGGACGGCCACACUGGGACUGAGACACGGCCCAG
rnacentral:rRNA from 1 species